UUCUAAUUUGGCAGAUUAAUUGUAUCAAAUUUAGAAUUUGACUAUGGAACAAUACCAAUUAGUAG
rnacentral:tRNA from 1 species